AUAUAAAUUGCCAGGGCAUACUGUUAGGAAGCAGGUUCUGAUUCUAUAGGUCUGGGGCAGGGUUGAGAUUCUGCAUUUCUCACAAGCUCUAAGUGAUGCUGAU
rnacentral:pre_miRNA from 1 species